UACGUAGGGGGCAAGCGUUGUCCGGAUUUAUUGGGCGUAAAGAGCGUGUAGGCGGCCUGGUAGGUCAGCUGUGAAAACUCGAGGCUCAACCUCGAGACGCCGGUUGAAACCAUCAGGCUAGAGUCCGGAAGAGGAGAGUGGAAUUCCCGGUGUAGCGGUGAAAUGCGCAGAUAUCGGGAAGAACACCCGUGGCUAAGGCGGCUCUCUAGUACGGUACUGACGCUGAGAUGCGAAAGCGUGGGGAGCGAACAGG
rnacentral:rRNA from 1 species